GAUCAUGGCUUAGGACGAACGCUGGCGGCACGCUUAACACAUGCAAGUCGAACGAGAGAAGAGAAGCUUGCUUUUCUGAUCUAGUGGCGGACGGGUGAGUAACACGUGAGCAAUCUGCCUUUCAGAGGGGGAUACCGAUUGGAAACAAUCGUUAAUACCGCAUAACAUAAUUGAACCGCAUGAUUUGAUUAUCAAAGAUUUAUCGCUGAAAGAUGAGCUCGCGU
rnacentral:rRNA from 1 species